rnacentral:rRNA from 1 species
GCGGGCGUAAAGAGUGGUUAAGGAAGCUUUUGAACUAAAGCCGAACGCCUUCAGAGCUGUUAUACGUUUCCGAAGGUAUGAAGCCCCACCACGAAAGUGGCUUUAUUUCCCCUGACUCCACGAAAGCUGUGAAA